rnacentral:rRNA from 1 species
UACAGAGGUCCCAAGCGUUACUGAGAUUCACUGGGUUUAAAGGGUGCGUAGGUGGCGCGUUAAGUCAGUUGUGAAAUCCCCGGGCUCAACCCGGGAAAAGCUUCUGAUACUGGCGCGCUUGAGGUCGGUAUAGGCUACUGGAACGGACGGUGGAGCGGUGAAAUGCGUAGAUAUCGUCUGGAACGCCAGUGGUGAAGACGGGUAGCUGGACCGAUUCUGACACUGAGGCACGAAAGCGUGGGGAGCAAACAGG